CCUACGGGAGGCAGCAGUGAGGAAUAUUGGUCAAUGGGCGCGAGCCUGAACCAGCCAAGUAGCGUGAAGGAUGACUGCCCUACGGGUUGUAACCUUCUUUUAUAAAGGAAUCAAGUGAGGCACGUGUGCCUUUUUGUAUGUACUUUAUGAAUAAGGAUCGGCUAACUCCGUGCCAGCAGCCGCGGUAAUACGGAGGAUCCGAUCGUUAUCCGGAUUUAUUGGGUUUAAAGGGAACGUAGUUGGGUAGUUAAGUCAGUUGUGAAAGUUUGGGGCUCAACCGUAAAAUUGCAAUUGAUACUGGCAGCCUUGAGUACAGUUGAGGUAGGCGGAAUUCGUGGUGUAGCGGUGAAAUGCUUAGAUAUAACGAAGAACUCCGAUUGCGAAGGCAGCCUACUGAACUGCCACUGACAUUGAUGCUCGAAAGUGUGGGUAUCAAACAGGAUUAGAUACCCUUGUAGUC
rnacentral:rRNA from 1 species